UAACAAUAAUAAAUAUUAUUAUAAUCAUAACCACAAUAAUAAAUCUUUUCCAGAUCUCAUUUGCCUCUUCUUCCGUCCAUCUGAGGGAUCGUGAUCGUUUCAAGAAUUAUUUCCAAAUCUAUGCAUCUGAGAGCAACUACAUUCCAGGGAUAGCAUCAAUCAUGACAUUUUAUGGAUGGAGUCGAGUUGUCAUUAUUACAGAGAAAGUGACCCUUUUCACUGAAACUGAGGAGACACUCUUCGAAUUGCUCACUACAAAAUCUGUUAAUGCUACAAGGAUUGAUUUUGAGUCUGAUGACGAUCCUGCUGAUAUUCCUAAUUUGUUUCCUGAAAAUGGGAGGAUUUUUUUUUUAAAUAUGUGGGAGCCAAAAGCAAGACAAGUCAUAUGUGAGAUUUAAGGACUAAAGCUCAGACUGAUUACCUCAAGUUUGUAUGAGCUCCUUUGAAGCACCCUUACCAGUUCUGUACUGUGAAAGGAGGAUCCUUUAGAGUAGGAAAGAGAUACGGAUCAGUAAAACGUAGCAAGUUCUGUCUCAUUGCUAUUGUAGCUGAGAUGAGUAAUGGAGACACCCCUAGUGACAGUGAUGAUGAUUAUAGUACACCACCUGAAGGGUCGGAUGAUGAAGAUGGUGGUACUGCUACUGAUCAUAGUCAAGUGGUAGGAGAAGCUAAUAUGAACACAAGUGAAAAUAUUAUAGAGGGAGCUAAUCCACAAUCUGAAAUUUAUGAUAUUUAUAUUAGGUACUUUGAGUAUACCAUCUUUUGAAGAUCAAGUGAAGAUAACAGAGGAUAUAGACAGA